AUUGAACGCUGGCGGCAUGCCUUACACAUGCAAGUCGAGCGGCAGCGCGGGGGCAACCCUGGCGGCGAGCGGCGAACGGGUGAGUAAUACAUCGGAACGUGUCCAGUAGCGGGGGAUAACCUGUCGAAAGAUAGGCUAAUACCGCAUACGACCCACGGGUGAAAGCGGGGGACCGCAAGGCCUCGCACUAUUGGACCGGCCGAUGUCGGAUUAGGUAGUUGGCGGGGUAAUGGCCCACCAAGGCGACGAUCCGUAGCUGGUCUGAGAGGACGACCAGCCACACUGGAACUGAGAAACGGUCCAGACUGCUACGGGAGGCAGCAGUGGGGAAUUUUGGACAAUGGGCGCAAGCCUGAUCCAGCCAUGCCGCGUGAGUGAAGAAGGCCUUCGGGUUGUAAAGCUCUUUCGGCGGGGACGAAACGGUCCGUGACAACACCACGGACUAAUGACAGUACUCGCAGAAGAAGCACCGGCUAACUACGUGCCAGCAGCCGCGGUAAUAC
rnacentral:rRNA from 1 species